rnacentral:rRNA from 1 species
UGAGCUACCCCAAAAAGUGAAGAUUAUGCUGCGAAGCGUAUUCCGAGUACUUUUCGGGGACCCCGGUUUGGGAGCCAGCCGCCGAAGGUGGGGUAGAUGAUUGGGGUGAAGUCGUAACAAGGUAGCCGUAUCGGAAGGUGCGGCUGGAUCACCUCCUUU